UACGUAGGCAGCGAGCGUUGUUCGGAAUUACUGGGCGUAAAGAGUGUGUAGGCGGUGCUCCCAGUCUGUUGUGAAAUCUCCCGGCUUAACUGGGAGGGUGCAGCGGAAACUAGAGUGCUAGAGGGUGGGAGAGGUAAGCGGAAUUCCUGGUGUAGCAGUGAAAUGCGUAGAUAUCAAGUGGAACACCAGUGGCGAAGGCGAGUCUCUGGACAUUUCCUGACGCUGAGGCACGAAAGCCAGGGGAGCAAACGGG
rnacentral:rRNA from 1 species